UACGUAGGGAGCAAGCGUUGUCCGGAAUCAUUGGGCGUAAAGCGCGCGUAGGCGGCCCUGUAAGUCCGUUGUGAAAGUCAAAGGCUCAACCUUUGAAAGCCGAUGGAUACUGCAGGGCUAGAGUCCGGAAGAGGCGAGUGGAAUUCCUGGUGUAGCGGUGGAAUGCGCAGAUAUCGGGAGGAACACCAGUAGCGAAGGCGGCACUCUGGGCCGGUACUGACGCUGAGGAGCGAAAGCGUGGGGAGCAAACAGG
rnacentral:rRNA from 1 species